rnacentral:lncRNA from 1 species
AUUCUUUGUGGACUAGGCAAAAGUUGAAGAAAGUGAUCAGCAACAGCAGGGGAAAUUUUCAAAAAGAGAAAUCCUACUGGAAGUCCUCCACCUUCUGAGAAGUUCAUUUCCUGUCCAUGAAGGCCUUUGGGUGGAUUUGAAAUUUAAAUAAACUAGAAAAGUUUUGAAUUAGCCAGUGUGGGACAUUUUCCAGGACUCAGGUAAAUGAAGAAUUCAGAGCCUAAACCCAAGUUUAAGACAAGAUGCAAAAAAAGGAAAAAAAAAUCAAAGAGCUUGGAACAGAAUUCUGGCAGCAGUAAACCUGGGAACAUGAGCCCACAGGUUGCCCUUAAAUUUCAGGAGCUCUUUCACCGCAUUCACAGGCAGAUGGAGGGCCAUGCCCACCACCAUCUCUACCCACGCCCUCUCUACUCAGAGGAGUUGUUCCUCCUUCUCCAACUUCUUUACCUAGAAUAAGUGGUAAACCAUCACCACCACUAUCACCUUUGUGGGAGGACCUCCUUCUCCAAAAUCACCACUUGCUGUCUCUUAUGGAAUAAAGCAGAAAUAAAAGUAUGCA